GUAACUAGUUGAUCGGGUCAUAUUUGUCCGGGAUGAAAUGAACGUCAAUUUGAUUUUAAAAAUAAACUAUAAAACAAAUAUGGUCCGAUCACAUGGUUUCAAAAGUUCGUUCAAUUUUAAUUUUUUUAUGAGUUAUGUACUUAUUGAUCCUUACAAAAUGAACAAUUCAGAUCACAUAAUUAAUGCGGACCGAGUCUUAUAUAAGGCGGUAAGCAAUGUUGUUCUUUUUGAGCACAUCGCUUAUUCCAAAUUCUCUGCAUGGAGUGAGCAACAAGGCCGUGGACUCCGGUCUUUGUUUGCCUUGCCACUCAUAAUUAUUUGAGGGGCCCGCGUUUUGUGGGGUUAUUGACCAUGAUGACUAAUAUUUUUUACUAGGAAAUGCUAUGAAUAUACCUAACUUGUAUCUCAAAUGCACAUUUAAUAAAAUUGACCAUUUGAAUUGAUUGAAAAGAUUGUGUGGACCUCACACUUAGCCAAUUUAAAUGCUCACUUCAGAUGUGCAUUUGGGAUAAACCAAAAUUCUUUUGACUUGAUUAUUGUAAAAUAGACUGUUCAAAUAAUUUAGAUUUUAUUUUAAAUUAAUUUUAAUAAUUUAAAUUAUUCAUGUUGUAAAAUUUGUUAAAGAUUUUAAUAUUAUUAAAAAAUUCGUUGAUAAAAUAUUAAUUUAUAAUAUAUUAAUAUCAAUUUAUAUUAAAAAAAUUACAUUAAAAUUCUCCAAAUUAUUGUAUUCUCAACCUGAGUGUCAGAAAGCGUGUAGAACAGAAGAACCGACGUGUCAGAAAGUGUGUGGAACAUGAGGAUUGACAAUGAGUCAAAAAAAAGUCAAUCUCUCUCUAAUUCUUUAUAUUAUUCACAAGACUAGGCCAUAAAGUUCACUGUUCAUUGUCACGAGAACUUUCAUAAGAAGAUUUACAAGUCGGCAGAUGAUCAUUUUGUCCCAACUUUCUGUCUCAGUUAUAAAUGGAUAACACAUAUGUAUUUAAAAUUUAUUAAAAAAAAUUAUAUAAUUUUAUAAAUUAUAAAUAAACAAGUAUCAUCCAACUAGAUUAAGACAGGAUUAUAUCUCAAAUGUUUUGGGACAGCAGAUUCCAACUCUUACCAGUCUAACUACUCCUGAAAGUUUAGUGUUGUGCCACGUGUUUCACUUUAUCCACGAUCACAGACGUACGCUCGAGUAAGGCUGUUCAAAAAAAUAAGUAGAACUAAAAUAUCAGAAUAUUGAAUCUUAGGGCAUGUUUGGUAAUAUUUAAAAGUCAAGUUUUUUUUAAAGUUUAUUAUCAAAAAAAGUUAGAUUUUUUAAUUUUCUGGCUUUACUUUAGCUAAAAAUAAGCAAAAAAGUAAAAUAAAAAAGUAAAAAAGCAAAAAAAAAUGACUUUUUUGUUUAUAAAUUUAAAAAAAGCCAGCCGAAAAGCAGGUACCAAAUAGAGCCUUAAUAUUAGAAUAGCUUAUGUAAGGGAAUAAAUUAUACAAUUAUGAAUUCUGGCAUUCUUAGGGUAAGCACCGCCAACAAACUAUCAUUAUGAAGCAAGCUAUGUGGUCCCCUAUGCCGGGACUCGAUCGAGACACUACCAAACAUUGGCACUGUAAGGUUACCAUCACUUUCGAGUUGUCACUGUUUAGUAACCGGAGUUUGGCCAAGCACUGUUUUUAAAACCGGACCGGACGGUCAACAGUUUGUGGCGAUCCAACAGGUAAAUUUAAACUUUUUUGAUUUUUCUUAACGAGAUAAGACUGAAAAUGUAAAAAUUUUUAUUUAAUUUCCAAAAACAAUUUAUAAAAAUUAUUAUUUUUGAAAAAAAUAACUUUAUUUUUUAUAAAAGAAAAACUGUUAUAUAUUUUAAAAAUUAUUCUCAAUAAUAUAUAUAUUUCAAAACUAUUUUUUUUAAUAUUUUUUCGAUUAAAUGUUUUUCAAAAAAAAUAUUUUUCAGAAAAACGGUUAAUUUUCAAAAAAAAAUUGGUAAAAAAAAUUAAUUUAAUAAAAAAAAUUAUUAAAAAAACUAAUAAAAAAGAAACAAAAAAAAAACUAAAAAAACGAAAAAGAGAGGAGAGAGAGAGAGAGAGAGAGAGAGAAUUGUCCAAUAGGUGUGAAGGCAAAUUAGUAAUUUUACAAGUAAUAAUGGGGGACAAAAUCUGACAAGGGUGGUCAGUACCGAAACCUCAGGGGAGAUCAUUGUAAUUUUUUAAACUUUAAGAGUACUUUAUGUAUUAAUCUGAAACCUCAGGGGAGGUCAGUGUAAUUUACCCUUAUUAAAAUUGCCAAAAUGGAUUUUCGCCAAUUUCGCCAUUUCACCCAUUUUAACUUGUUGACGUCGUCAAAAUCAAAAUCGUUAUAUCACCGAUUUGAUUAUUAACAUCGCCUACCUAAGUUUUACUCGCCCGCCCAAAAGGUAGAAAAAUAAUUGGGAGUUACAUCCUCCAAUUAUUCAACUAAGGCAUCUUGCUCAUCAAAAUUGUGAAUUUCAGAAAGCUGGAGCAUCUCAGUUUUUUUUAUUUUUGAAAU
rnacentral:lncRNA from 1 species